rnacentral:rRNA from 1 species
AGAGUUUGAUCCUGGCUCAGAUUGAACGCUGGCGGAAUGCUUUACACAUGCAAGUCGAACGGCAGCACGGAGAGCUUGCUCUCUGGUGGCGAGUGGCGAACGGGUGAGUAAUAUAUCGGAACGUGUCCAAUAAUGGGGGAUAACGAGUCGAAAGAUUCGCUAAUACCGCAUACGCCCUACGGGGGAAAGCAGGGGAUCGUAAGACCUUGCGUUAAUGGAGCGGCCGAUAUCUGAUUAGCUUGUUGGUGAGGUAAAGGCUCACCAAGGCGACGAUCAGUAGCUGGUUUGAGAGAACGACCAGCCACACUGGAACUGAGACACGGUCCAGACUCCUACGGGAGGCAGCAGUGGGGAAUUUUGGACAAUGGGGGCAACCCUGAUCCAGCCAUUCCGCGUGAGUGAAGAAGGCCUUCGGGUUGUAAAGCUCUUUCGCAAGGGAAGAAAACUUAUGAUCGAAUAAAUCAUGAGGUUGACGGUACCUUGAUAAGAAGCACCGGCUAACUACGUGCCAGCAGCCGCGGUAAUACGUAGGGUGCGAGCGUUAAUCGGAAUUACUGGGCGUAAAGCGUGCGCAGGCGGUUUUGUAAGUCGGAUGUGAAAUCCCCGGGCUCAACCUGGGAACUGCGUUCGAAACUGCAAGGCUAGAGUGUGUCAGAGGGGGGUAGAAUUCCACGUGUAGCAGUGAAAUGCGUAGAGAUGUGGAGGAAUACCAAUGGCGAAGGCAGCCCCCUGGGAUAACACUGACGCUCAUGCACGAAAGCGUGGGGAGCAAACAGGAUUAGAUACCCUGGUAGUCCACGCCCUAAACGAUGUCAACUGGUUGUUGGGUCUUCACUGACUCAGUAACGAAGCUAACGCGUGAAGUUGACCGCCUGGGGAGUACGGCCGCAA